rnacentral:tRNA from 1 species
GCGGGGAAUAGCUCAGUUGGUAGAGCAUAACCUUGCCAAGGUUGGGGUCGCGAGUUCGAGUCUCGUUUCCCGCUCCA